GAAACAGGACUCCAAGCCACACACUGGUCCCCUGCUAAGGCAUCAGUAGACCUUUGAGGAGCUAACGGCAAGAAUGGCCGUUCCACUGCACCAUGUCUACUCUCUGGCAUGCUGUCUUGUUCACUUCCCAUGGCCACUUCUACACCAUUCUCUGAUUUAGGCUCAUAAUUGCAGGUGGCAUUGGUCUGAGUCUCCUCAAAGAUCUCCUCUAUACUCUCAUCCUCUGUGACUGGCUGUUCUGGGUCCAUUUCAGAAUCUACAUCUGCAUCGUCCACACCAGUAAAAUUCUCAAAGUGCAGAAAGCCAUUCUUGGUCGUCUUUGUUACUCUUAACUGGAGUUCGGGGGAGUUAUUACAAGUGGGCUCCUGUUUCAUAGCAAGUGCUGUUGGACCACCAGGACUCAAGGAAGUGCAAACAAUUGGCGACUGAGCUCUUGAAUCACUUUUUGCAGGGUCUUGAAAGGAUUCUGAUCCAUCAGCAGACCCACUUAAAUAUUCUACAUUGAUCAUGGAGGCCAAAUCCUGUAGUCUCCGCAGUGGAAUGUAACAAGAUGGAGAAUCUUGUCCAUAAGCAUUUUGGGAUGUUCCACUGGCAGCAGUCGGUAACUGCAUAGUACACCCAUUAAGUGGCUCAGAAAAAUUGGAUUGACCAUUACCGAAAGGGCUGUCCUUGUCUUCGGAGGCAUCUAAAUUCACCGGAUUAGAAAAGGACAGCAGACAAUUUCUUCUAGAUAAUUCACAAGUCCGAUCCAUACUGUGCCUGCAUCAA
rnacentral:lncRNA from 1 species